UGCUCGAGCAUGGCCCCAGUCAAAUUGCUGAAACGAGUAAAAGAAUACACACACACACACCACACACGUGUGUGUGUGUGCGUAUGUGUAGACGGCCUCGUGGAGUCAAUGAUCAUCGCUCGUUUAGUUAGGACCGCAACGAAGUUUCGUUCCUCGAUCAAACCAGAUUCACUACUCCAACACACUACUUAUGUCGCGUUCCCCACAACCCUUUAUGUUUUUUCCACUCCUCCGUUCGAAGGAUGCAUUCAGCUAACCACUGGAUGUACCACCAAAAAGUCAAGGCUAGAAAUAGUCUUGGAGUUAAUUACUUUGGGCGUUCUUUCGGUCUGUGAUCACAAACGUGAAAGAGAAGCUGUCGGCAUUAAAAUUUUGAAAAAAAAAAAAAAAAAAAAAAAAAAAAAAGAAUAAAAAAAUAUUCAAAACUGUGAUAUCCGUACUUUUAAAUGUGGAAUUCCUGCGCUCCACCCCUCAAAAAAAUUAAUUAAUUUAAUUAAAUUAGAAAGUUAAAAACAAGAAAGUUGAAGUGGGUGGGAAUUAAAAAUGUGUAGAUUUGUCUUUUUGCGGGCGUUUUUGGCAAAAGUCAUAAUUUCCGUUAUUUGAAGUCAUAAAUAUCCAAAGAAAUGUUUGUAUGCACACGCAUAUACACAGACACACCACACACACACAUAAACACAUACCACAUCACACACACACACACACACAUAUAGGCGCGACUGUUUUAGCUGAGACGCUUGCUUCACAAUCAUGUGGUCUUUGGUUCAGUCCCAAUACGCGGCAUCUUGGGUAAGUAUAGCCUCGGGCCAACCAAGGCCUUGUGUGUGGAUUUGAUUGAUAGAAGCUAAAAGAAGACCGUCGUAUGUGUGUGUGUGGGGAGGUGUAUGUGUGUCCUUAACCGCUCGACAACCAGUGUUGGUUUGUUUGCGUCCCCGUAACGUAGCGAUUCACCAAAUGAGAAUGACAAUAAAUACCAAGCUUAAAAAAAAUAACUUCUGGUGUCGAUUUGUUUGGUUAAAUCCUUCAAGGCGGUGCCCCAGCACGGCCGCAGUCCAGUGACAAAAACAAGUAAAAAGAAAUAAUAAUAAAAAAAAAAGCGGUGUGUUGUGCCUAUUCGACAAGUCCACCCGGAUAUCGGUGGAAUAUUGAUCAUAAGCCGAGUGAAUACCAAUCAAUGUGAAAUGCGAAAGAAAGCGGUCAGCUGGCAGAGUUGUUAAAGCGCCGAAGA